UACGAAGGGUGCAAGCGUUGUUCGGAAUCAUUGGGCGUAAAGCGCAUGUAGGCGGUUAUUUAAGUCAGAUGUGAAAUCCCUCGGCUCAACCAAGGAAGUGCAUUUGAAACUAAAUAGCUAGAAGACGGUAGAGGAAGGUGGAAUUCCAAGUGUAGAGGUGAAAUUCGUAGAUAUUUGGAGGAAUACCUGAGGCGAAGGCGGCCUUCUGGGCCGUUCUUGACGCUGAGAUGCGAAAGCGUGGGUAGCAAACAGG
rnacentral:rRNA from 1 species